rnacentral:rRNA from 1 species
AACGAACGCUGGCGGCAUGCCUAACACAUGCAAGUCGAACAAAGCCUUCGGGCUUAGUGGCGCACGGGUGCGUAACACGUGGGAAUCUGCCCUUCGGUUCGGAAUAACAGUUAGAAAUGACUGCUAAUACCGGAUGAUGACGUAAGUCCAAAGAUUUAUCGCCGAAGGAUGAGCCCGCGUAGGAUUAGGUAGUUGGUAGGGUAAAUGGCCUACCAAGCCGACGAUCCUUAGCUGGUCUGAGAGGAUGAUCAGCCACACUGGGACUGAGACACGGCCCAGACUCCUACGGGAGGCAGCAGUGGGGAAUAUUGGACAAUGGGCGAAAGCCUGAUCCAGCAAUGCCGCGUGAGUGAUGAAGGCCUUAGGGUUGUAAAGCUCUUUUACCAGGGAUGAUAAUGACAGUACCUGGAGAAUAAGCUCCGGCUAACUCCGUGCCAGCAGCCGCGGUAAU